rnacentral:sRNA from 1 species
AUUAUCAAUGUCCCUCCCCCAGUAGAAAGCGUGGGUGGGGGUGGGGGUGCUGCCGGGUCCCUGCUCUGGUGGAGGGGAAACUUGUGAGGGGGCAAGCGCCCCCUCCGAAGCCUGGUGUGUGCGCAGGGGGAAGGAAGUUAGUUUCCUCUCCACCCAUGGGCACCCCUUCUGCCCGGGGCCUGGGAAGUGGGCUGCUCUGUGGGCAAAUGCUGGGGCCUCUGAAAUGGAGGAGACGCGGCAGGGAGAGGCCCCACGUGGGCAGCUGCGCUGAGAGUCAGCGGCACCUGUCCCCCAGGCGCUCCUCCUGGUGCUGCUGGGGGCCCGGGCCCAGGGCGGCACUCGUAGCCCCAGGUGUGACUGUGCCGGUGACUUCCACAAGAAGAUUGGUCUGUUUUGUUGCAGAGGCUGCCCAGCGGCCUCCCAGGUGGCGCUGGAGAACUGUUCGGCAGUGGCCGACACCCGCUGUGGCUGUAAGCCAGGCUGGUUUGUGGAGUGCCAGGUCAGCCAAUGUGUCAGCAGUUCACCCUUCUACUGCCAACCAUGCCUAGACUGCGGGGCCCUGCACCGCC